GCACAGAUGCGUUUGACUCUUGGCCAUCGCCAUCUGCGCACGUUCAACAUAGCCUAGAUGUACGUUUUUAUUACUUCUAAACAAAAUAACGUUUUGGGGUUCUCAUACGGAACUACACCUUGUACCACACAGGACUGUUCUGCUAGCAGAGACAGGAAUAUGUUCUGCGAUUCAUCGAAUGGCAUUGAGGAGCAAACCACCUUAGUCAUCGGCUUUAUCAAUAGUUCGGAUUCUCGACUACGUCGUUCCCACAGUGACCGUACUGUGGGAGCGAUAUCCCAUUCAGAAUCCAUGAAUUACAGGCAGCAUCUGCAUCGAGCUAAAGGCUAGAGCUAACGCUUUCAAGGAGCGGGACACAAAUCCGGACGCUUAUAAAAAAUGUCGCUAUGCUCUCAGACGAACAAAGAUCAAAGAUCAAAAGAAAGAAAGAAAAAAAAAAGAUCAAACAAACAAAGUGUCAAUAGGGGAUUAAGAUUGAAUCCUACUACACCGGCUCUGGCGCUCAUCUGAUGUGUCAGAGCUUGAAAACUAUUACGGACUACAAAGGGAAUCCCAUAUGCGAGCUGCCCAGUGACGCGAGCCUACCAGACGAGCUAAAUGCCUUUUAUGCUUGCUUCGAGGCAAGCAACACUGUGUGACAAAGCUCUCGGUAGCCAAUGUGAUCAAGACCUUUAUACAGGUCAACAUUCACAAAGCUACAGGGCCAGGUGGAUUACCAGGAUGGUCAAUAUGGCCAAACAGUUCUAUUUUUGUUUCAUCAGACCAGAGGACAUUUCUCCAAAAAAGUACACUCUUUGUCCCCAUAUGCAGUUGCAAACUGUAGUCUGGCUUUUUUAUGGCGGUUUUGGAGCAGUGGCUUCUUCCUAGCUGAGCAGCCUUUCAGGUUAUGUUGACAUAGGACUCGUUUUACUGUGGAUAUAGAUACUUUUGUACCCGUUUCCUCCAGCAUCUUCACAAGGUCCUUUGCUAUUGUUCUGGGAUUGAUUUGCACUUUUCGCACCAAAGUACGUUCAUCUCUAGGAGACAGAACGGGUCUCCUUCCUGAGCGGUAUGACGGCUGCGUGGUCCCAUGGUGUUUAUACUGCGUACUAUUGUUUGUAUAGAUGAACGUGGUACCUUCAGGCGUUUGGAAAUUGCUCCCAAGGAUGAACCAGACUUGUGGAGGUCUACAAUGUUUUUUCUGAGGUCUUGGCUGAUGUCUUUUGAUUUUCCCAUGAUGUCAAGCAAAGAGGCACUGAGUUUUAAGGUUGGCCUUGAAAUACAUGCACAGGUACACCUCCAAUUGACUCAUGAUGUCAAUUGGCCUAUCAGAAGCUUCUAAAGCCAUGACAUCAUUUUCUGGAAUUUCCAAGCUGUUUAAAGGCACAGUCAACUUAGUGUAUGUAAACUUCUGACCCACUGAAAUUGUGAUACAGUGAAUUAUAAGUGAAAUAAUCUGUAUGUCAACAAUUGUUGGAAAAAUUACUUGUGUCAUGCACAAAGUAGAUGUCGUAACCGACCUGCCAAAACUAUAGUUUGUUAACAAGAAAUUUGUGGAGUGGUUGAAAAACGAGUUUUACUGACUCCAACCUAAGUGUAUGUAAACUUAUGACUUCAACUGUUUGUGAGAAUGCUGUUCAAUGACUACAGCUCAGCAUUCAACACCACAGUUCUCACAAAGCUCAUCACUAAGCUAAGGACCCUGGGACUUAACACUUCCUUCUGCAACUGGAUCCUGGACUUCCUGACGAACCCCCCCCCCCAGGUGGUAAGAGUAGGCAACAACACGUCUGCCUUGCUGAUCCUCAACACGGGGGCCCUUCAGGGUUGUGUACUUAGUCCCAUCCUGUACUCCCUGUUCACCCAUGACUGCGUGGCCAAAUACGACUCCAACACCAUCAUGAAGUUUGCUGACGACACAACAUUGGUAGGCCUGAUCACCGACAACGAUGAGACAGCCUAUAGGGAGGAGGUCAGAAACCUGGAAGUGUGAUGCCAGGACAACAACCUCUCCCUCCAUGUGAGCAAGACAAAGGAGCUGAUCGUGGACUACAGGAAAAGGUGGGCCGAAAAAAAAAAAAAAAAAAAUGCACACAGGAGGAACUCAAAAUCCCAAAACACCUCACGGCCAUCGGAAAAAAAUAACAUGUUAAAUUAAGUGCUUAAUAAAAUAGAGUAAGUAGUAUUAUAUAACACACACAGGACUCACAUUUAAUUUAAUCAUUCUGAGCAGCACAUCUGUCCAGGGAGGAGACAUCAGUUGAACGGUUUUAAACGUGGCAGUAUUUUAGUCCUCGUCAUGUCUGUCUCGGAUAGGGCUGUAGUGGAACGGGUUGAGAGUUUCAAGUUCCUUGGUGUCCACAUCACCAACAAACUAACAUGGUCCAAACACACCAAGACAGUUGUGAAGAGGGCACGAAAACAGCUUUUCCCCCUCAGGAGACUGAAAAUAUUUGGCAUUGGUCCCCAGAUCCUCAAAAAGGUCUACAGCUACACCAUCGAGAGCAUCCUGACUAGUUGCAUCACUGCCUGGUAUGGCAACUGCUCGACAUCUGACCGUAAGGUGCUACAGAGGGUAGUUCGGACUGCCCGGGACGUCACUGGGGCCAAGCUUCCUGCCAUCCAGGACAUAGGCGGUGUCAGAGGAAAGCCCAAAAAAUUGUCAGACUCCAGUCACCCAAGUCAUAGACUGUUUUCUCUGCUACCACACGGCAGGAGGUAACGGAGCGCCAAGUCUAGGACCAAAACGCUCCUUAACAGCUUCUACCCUCAAGCCAUAAGACUGCUGAACAAUUAAUCAAAUGGCCACCAGACUAUUUUAAAUUGACCCCCCCCCCCCCAGUUGUUUUGUACACUGCUGCUACUUACUGUUUAUUAGUUAAUUCACCCCUACCUACAUUUACAAAUUACCUCGACUAACAGGUACCCCCGCACAUUGACUUGUCCUCCACCAAUUGCGUCCACCAAUUUACACAGAUCGCCCUUGUUUGGCAAUGUUUGUAAAUACAGAAAGGGGUCUAUUGAAAAACUCUUUACAGUCGUGUUUCCGUUUGUCACACAGUUGUAGCUUUUCAUGGUGGUAGCAUUUCUAACACAGCAAGUGCAGGUCCAGGGUCAGUUUAUUCUGAUGGGGUUAUUGGGUUAUCCUACCAAAGUACCUGAAGCAAACAAAAAUGACUUGAUCAGCCCAAUGGGGCACAAUUACCGUUGCAGUAUACAAUGAUAACCACUAGAGUGAACUGUUACUCCACUUCAAUCAUCCCAGUAUUAGCAGAAGAAAAACAUUUUAAAAAGACUGACCAGGUGAAAGCUAUGAUCCCUUAUUGAUGUUACUUGUUAAAUCCACUUCAAUCAGUAUAGAUAAAGGGGAGGAGACAAGUUAAAGAAGGAUUUUUAGCCUUGACAAUUGAGACAUGUAUUGUGUAUGUGUGCCUUUCAAAGGGUGAAUGGGCAAGACAAAAGUGCUUUUGAACGGGGUAUGGUAGUAGGUGCCAGGCACACUGGUCAAGAAUACACUGUUUUCCGUGUGUAUCAAGACAGGUCCACCACCCAGAAGACAUCCAGCCAACUUGACACAACUGUGGGAAGCAUUGGAGUCAAUAUGGGCCAGCAUCCCUGUGGAACGCUUUCGACACCUUGUAGAGUACAUGCCCCCAACGAAUUGAGGCUGUUCUGAGAGGGGGCUUCCAAGUCAAUAUUAGGAAUGUGUUCCUAAUGUCUGGUACACUCAGUGUAUACCACUAGUUAGGGGGGAAAAACACUGCAAUUAGGAUACCUACUCCAUUGAGUUACAUUUGGAUGUGUCAGCAGGCUAAUUUAAGCACUAUUAUGAAAGGAUGGUGGGAAAAUGUCCCUAUAAUAGCAUUACACAAACCCCAGUAUUGGAAAUGGAUGCUCUUAUCUGGCUUUUGAUGAUGAUUGAAUAAAAGACAGAUGUGAGGGAUGAAUGGA